CUAGACAAAGUGCAAAUUAUAAUUUAAUCGCAAACCAGUCGAAAAGUCCCUUUUUUGUAUGGAGUUUUGACGGAUUCGAUUUCGACUCGAUCAAAAAGUGCGUUUUGUCUAGGGGGGCUGUGCUAGUACUUAUUAUUAUUCUGUGGUAGCACGCUCAUUUUCUAGCGAUAGCACUCAUUGGCACGCUGAAAAAAGGAUUUUAUUAGAAUUAACGUGGAAUCGUGGAUAUUUUUGAAAAGUUGCAUUUCAGAAACAUGGUGACUUGUUCCGUGAUUGAUUGUGGCAUAACGCAAAGAAAUAAUCCCGAAAAGUGUUCAUUUCACAGAUUUCCUACUAGCGAGGAUACAAAAAAUGCAUGGCUUAAAUUAAUUGAUCGUCCAAACUGGAUUCCGAAGAAAUGGUCUAGUUUAUGCAGUAAACAUUUUGAAGACAAAUAUUUCCAGACACUAGGAGGGAGAAGAGUUUUGAAGAAAUGUGCAAUUCCAACUAAGUUUGUUCCGGUCAAAAUAAUACCUACACGCACAGUGCCAUCCUACGUUAUUCGAGACAUCUUACCAGAGGCAUCCACAUAUAAACCGUCUAGAACUACACCACCGCUUCCGUCCGCACCAUCGACAUCUUCCCAAUUAGAAAAGCUUACAUCUAAAUGCACUAAAUUGCAAGAAAAAUUAAAAAAGAAACGGCAACUCAUUCGAAACCUAAGGGCGCAAAAUAAACGAACUAAGAAUAAAGUUAUAACCUUAGCAUCUUUGCUUGACGAAAUUGAAAAACUUCCUGGGAUUAAAGAGCAUUUAAAUUAUAUUGCAAUAAACUGUAACAAAACGAUUCGGGCCUUAAACGACCGAUCGAAUGUUGAAACUCGAGGUGAAUUAAUAAUACCAGAUUUAAUAGACGCUGAUUCCAAUGAAGACAUACUAUCCGAAACUUCAAAUAGUGAAUUGGAAUCAGAAUGAAGAUAUCUUUUAUCAGUACUACCCGUUCGCGCUAAGUUUGCCGGUUCCGUGGAAUGCGCGUUCCCACCCCCAGCCGCGAUUAAACGCAAUUAAUGUGUCUUAUUUUACGCAAAUGCGAACAGCUAGGGAUUGGAAUUCAUUGCCUUCUGCUGUCUUUCCCGAAAACUAUAAUCCGGGCCUUUUCAAGGCAAGAGUGAAUAGGCACUUACAGGGCAGAUAAUUAUGUACCAUUCUAGACUGCAUCCCACUUAACAUCAGGUGCAAUGAGGAUCAUUUCGAUUUUUAGCUGUGAAUGCAGAUUUAUAGGUCUACGAAAUCCAUAAUAUACAGUCCAAAAAUUUUUGUUCUACGACAAAAAUUGACAAAGUUAUGGCCAAAUUACUAAAAAAGUUCACUGACCGCCCGGCGCGGGACCGAUGACGUCAUUAUAUCCGAUCCGAACGCUGCCGGCGUACUGCGUGGAUAGAAAAUAUUUUUUUCUAGCCAUACUAUCAGUUUUAGAGAAAAACUUCUUAUGACAUUUAUUCAUCAGAAUAAAGUAAGCUAUCGAUAGGUAAUUUUUUAAAAUAGAAAUUGUGAAAAAUAUCGCAAAAAAUCCAUACGCUCAUACGAUUCAAUGGAACGCGGAGACGCGAUUAGGGUCUCCGCGGUGGUAUAUUUGGCGAUUUAUGCAAAUAAAGUGUUCAUAAGUGUUGUUAGAGUCAUAUCUUCGUCCAAGUAAAGUAUAAAAAUGUAUAAGUAGGUAUUAAUUUAUUUACUUCUAACAAUAAGUAUAGCUGAGGCAGAUACACUCUGCCUAGGCUACAAGACAUUGCUAUGAAGAUCAUUUCGAUGUACACGCAAUACCUACCUGUUAUUUAGUUUUUCUGAGUUAAACCUACGUACCUACCUAUCUAUUCGCCGUUCCCAUGGGCGGGCCAGCUGCUCCCUCCUGGAAAUCUAUUUAAUCUUAGCCUAGAAGCUGGGUAUGACUCCCCCGCCCCUCCUCUCCCCAGGUCAUAAGCUGGGCAUGACUGCCCCCUCGGCCAGAAGUCGGGUAUGAUUUACC